UACGUAGGUGGCAAGCGUUGUCCGGAGUUAUUGGGCGUAAAGCGCGCGCAGGCGGUGCGGUAAGUCUCUGGUGGAAGCGCUCGGCUUAACUGGGCGAGGGCCGGGGAGACUGCCACGCUGGAGGGGAGCAGAGGCGAGUGGAAUUCCGGGUGUAGUGGUGAAAUGCGUAGAGAUCCGGAGGAACACCAGUGGCGAAGGCGGCUCGCUGGGCUCUACCUGACGCUGAGGCGCGAAAGCGUGGGGAGCGAACCGG
rnacentral:rRNA from 1 species